rnacentral:rRNA from 1 species
GCGACGCCGCGUGAGGGAUGACGGCCUUCGGGUUGUAAACCUCUUUCAGCACAGACGAAGCGCAAGUGACGGUAUGUGCAGAAGAAGGACCGGCCAACUACGUGCCAGCAGCCGCGGUAAUACGUAGGGUCCGAGCGUUGUCCGGAAUUACUGGGCGUAAAGAGCUCGUAGGUGGUUUGUCGCGUUGUUCGUGAAAACUCACAGCUUAACUGUGGGCGUGCGGGCGAUACGGGCAGACUUGAGUACUGCAGGGGAGACUGGAAUUCCUGGUGUAGCGGUGGAAUGCGCAGAUAUCAGGAGGAACACCGGUGGCGAAGGCGGGUCUCUGGGCAGUAACUGACGCUGAGGAGCGAAAGCGUGGGGAGCGAACAGGAUUAGAUACCCUGGUAGUCCACGCCGUAAACGGUGGGUACUAGGUGUGGGUUUCCUUCCUUGGGAUCCGUGCCGUAGCUAACGCAUUAAGUACCCCGCCUGGGGAGUACGGCCGCAAGGCUAAAACUCAAAGAAAUUGACGGGGGCCCGCACAAGCGGCGGAGCAUGUGGAUUAAUUCGAUGCAACGCGAAGAACCUUACCUGGGUUUGACAUGCACAGGACGCUGGUAGAGAUAUCAGUUCCCUUGUGG